UUAUUAUUGUUAUAAUAAAUUGACAUUCAUUACAUUAUAGACGUUUGUGUAAAAUGUGCCGAAGCACAGAACAGUUCACAGGUGUAGAUGGGUAGAUAGUUGGACCGAAGUCCUUAAUUCUCUACUGAUCCUUCCGCAGGUUCACCUACGGAAA
rnacentral:misc_RNA from 1 species